rnacentral:lncRNA from 1 species
UGGAGUAUGUUGGAUCUAGAUAUGGCAGCGUUAGACUCCAGAUCCGAUCAAUUGUAAUGAUAGGAAUCAAUUCAAAAUAUGUCUGUGUGUCUAGAGAUAUUUUGGUGAAUUGAGAUCAAAGGGAUCAGAGAGAGAGAGCAAGACACAAGGUAAAGGGAGAACCCGGGCUAAAAAAAUCCCCCGUGCGAACUCCCCUAACCAACACGAAACAAUUAUUUUUAUUAUUAUUUAGUGUGACCUGCCAUGCAAGCGCACCUGUCAUGGCAAAGGUCGGAUGACAAAGAUGCUUAAUCAGAACUCAAGCCUAAUCCAUCAGGCUAUUAUCGUCCUUAACAAACAUCUUAUACAUCCAUCAUACUCAUUAUCAAUUCACAUAUCUCAAUCCUCUCCCCUCUUCUUCAAUUGCUCCUCCCGGACUCAUCCUCACCUCAGCAUAUCACGGAUCCGACGAAGCAACAAAACAAGGUAUGAAUUUUAAACAGACGAACUCAAAAUCACGAAGCAUAGACAAACAUCUUUAGUUACAUUACAUACAUAUAUAUAUAUAUAUAUACACUUUUUUUUUGAACACUGAAAUAUAUAUAUACACUAUUAAUCUAUUAGUAGAGCAAACUGUUCGGAGGGAUGGGAAGAGAGGAAAUAGAUUAAUGGACUUUGGCCAUCACUCGGUUGUCAUUCUUAUAACCAGAAAACAAACUCAUUAAUAAAGUUUUAAGGUUUUAGUUGGGCAGAUAGGGCCAUCAAUCGUUGUUAUUGCUAUAUCGAACUUUCAGUAUUCAUUGUUGCCCCUAAUACAACUAGUGUAUUAUCAUCAUGGGUUACCCAUGAUGGGUAGCUACGGCCAGAAAACCCCUAGUCUCUUUUUCUAUAGUUGGUUUUCCUCCGUCUAAAUUUGGAAUGUAUAUUUUCUUGUUGGUGCUUUUACUACAGUUUUUAGAACUCUUGGGUGUUUGGUUGUAACUGACCAAUAUUUUUCAGCUGUUGGUGCUUUUCAGUUAAUUUGUCUGGUGGAACAACAUGAUCAUUUGCAUUCAAAGGUAGCAGGUUCAAAUCAUUAACUUUUAUUGUUUAGACUUUUGUAUUAAACUACAUAUACUGCCCCAAAAAUGUUUUGUUGAUUCCAGCAUAUUACAAAAGCACGUACUGACCCCAAAACUUAUUUUUUUCAAUGAAUGCAAAGACCCCAGGACAACUUCACGUAUACAUUAGGCAACAAUUCAUGUCUUUUUGUGUGACCCUACGAGGAUAAAGUCCUUCUCAGCUGCUUGCAAUCCCAGUCACAUAGUUGAUCAUCGCCAUUACUUGACUGAUGACCAGUUGUCUAGUCCCUCCGUCAAUUGCCAAAUCAAAAGUAAAUCUUUUUCUUGUCAGCAAUUCCGUUUUAGCAUACCCUAUUAAUAAGUGCAAAAACACUAAUACAUCAUGACUAAAGUGGAUUCUAAAUUAUGUUCAUGUAAAAGAUGUAAAAAGAUUAGGAAGUAGACAGAUCUGGGUGGAUUCGAACCACCAACCUCUCAUAACGAGAGCUCUACCAUUUUGAGCUUACAGAUCUAUUAACACGAACCUUGCCAAGUUAACAUAAAGCUUCCAUCUCUGUACUAGAGAAUCCUAAUGAUAAAAGCAUAUCCACAAUAGUGCGACAACCAGGAUCAGAUUUACAGUCUGCUUUAACAUUAACCAAUCAUCAUUUCGAUAUAAUUAUAUAAUUUCAUUAGAACAAAUGCUGCAAGUGAAAUUAAAGGCCGGCCAAUGCACAGAUACUAGCUGAAUUUACCACAUCAAAAUAACAACACAAAUGUAUUAUGCACAAGUCUUUAUGCAAAAUACAACGUAAGAUUUUCGCUAAAUAUUCGAUGGUUCCUUCAAAUUGCCAACAAUGAAAUACUCUUUUUCAAUAUAGAAACACUGUAUCUAACUUUACAUACAAAAAGUCAGUCAAUUUACUUGAUUUAGAUACCUCAUUGCUUCAGCAUGAACACACUCGUGCGCUCGAUUUAUCCAUAUGGCAAUACCUCCAACGUCUUCUAUCACCAGAGCCAUUAGCUCUAUGAAAAACAUAGAUAUAAUACAAGACAACAUGCUUACAGUAUUGUGCAAAGUGAUGGGACUCUAACGUACUUCUUUGUAUUAUAAACUAUAAAAGUGGAUACAUGUUGCUAAAACAUUGUGCUUACAAAAAAUAACUAGCCAAGUAUGUAUAUAGCUUCGUUACAGAGAAAUUGAAAAGUGCUUGAUACAGCAAAAUUAAAGUCGAUUUGGAGUUAUGAUAGGUUAUAUAAUAUGAAUAAACUCAAAUUUAAAGUACCUUUGCCUCUGUGGAGUAUGUUGGAUCUAGAUAUGGCAGCGUUAGACUCCAGAUCCGAUCAAUUGUAAUGAUAGGAAUCAAUUCAAAAUAUGUCUGUGUGUCUAGAGAUAUUUUGGUGAAUUGAGAUCAAAGGGAUCAGAGAGAGAGAGCAAGACACAAGGUAAAGGGAGAACCCGGGCUAAAAAAAUCCCCCGUGCGAACUCCCCUAACCAACACGAAACAAUUAUUUUUAUUAUUAUUUAGUGUGACCUGCCAUGCAAGCGCACCUGUCAUGGCAAAGGUCGGAUGACAAAGAUGCUUAAUCAGAACUCAAGCCUAAUCCAUCAGGCUAUUAUCGUCCUUAACAAACAUCUUAUACAUCCAUCAUACUCAUUAUCAAUUCACAUAUCUCAAUCCUCUCCCCUCUUCUUCAAUUGCUCCUCCCGGACUCAUCCUCACCUCAGCAUAUCACGGAUCCGACGAACCUAGCUUGCCG